rnacentral:rRNA from 1 species
AGUAACACGUGGAUAACCUACCUAUAAGACUGGGAUAACUUCGGGAAACCGGAGCUAAUACCGGAUAAUAUUUUGAACCGCAUGGUUCAAAAGUAAAAGACGGUCUUGCUGUCACUUAUAGAUGGAUCCGCGCUGCAUUAGCUAGUUGGUAAGGUAACGGCUUGCCAAGGCAACGAUGCAUAGCCGACCUGAGAGGGUGAUCGGCCACACUGGAACUGAGACACGGUCCAG